AGCCGGCCCAUUCUCUGGUGGUCC
rnacentral:siRNA from 1 species